rnacentral:snRNA from 1 species
GUGCUUGCUUUGACAGCUCAUAUACUAAAAUUGGAACGAUACAGAAUAGAUUAGCAUGGCCCCUGAGUAAUGAUGACACGCAAAUUCGUGAAGAGUUCCAUAUGUUU